GGGCUCACACAAGCGGUGGAGCAUGUGGUUCAAUUCGAAGCAACGCGAAGAACCUUACCCGGGUUUGAAAUCCACGGAUGGGUCCGAUGAAAGUUGGAUACCCUGCCCGCAAGGGUGAAACGUGGACAGGUGUUGCAUGGCUGUCGUCAGCUCGUGUCGUGAGAUGUCGGGUUAAGUCCCUCAACGAGCGAAACCCUUGUCUCUAGUUGCCAACGGUUCGGCCGGGGACUCUAGAGAGACUGCCGUUGUGAAAACGGAGGAAGGUGGGGACGACGUCAAGUCAUCAUGGCCUUUAUGUCCGGGGCUACACACGUGCUACAAUGGACGGUACAAAGGGAUGCAAAGUCGCGAGACCAAGCAAAACUCAGAAAACCGUCCCCAGUUCAGAUUGGAGGCUGCAACCCGCCUCCAUGAAGAUGGAAUCGCUAGUAAUCGCGGAUCAGCUACGCCGCGGUGAAUAUGUUCCUGGGCCUU
rnacentral:rRNA from 1 species